GUUAUAUGAUGUCAAGAAGCCGCACCCCUUGAAAAGGCCGAGGGCGGCUUUUUAAAUCUAACCAAACCCACCAAUUGUCGGGGUGCUGCGUGAUCCGAUACAGGGCCAUAUCUCAACUGGGAGAGCGCCUGCUUUGCACGCAGGAAGUCAGGAGUUCAAUCCUCCUUGGCUCCACCAUCUAAACAAUCGUCGAAAGCUCAGAAAUGAAUGUUCGUGAAUGAACAUUGAUUUCUGGUCUUUGCACCAGAACUGUUCUUUAAAAAUUCGGGUAUGUGAUAGAAGUAAGACUGAAUGAUCUCUUUCACUGGUGAUCAUUCAAGUCAAGGUAAAAUUUGCGAGUUCAAGCGCGAAUUUUCGGCGAAGGUCGUCUUCACAGUAUAACCAGAUUGCUUGGGGUUUAUAUGGUCAGCGGGGUG
rnacentral:tRNA from 1 species